AACCACAUCAGUGUUCCUAAAUAUUCUGCUUCUGAAUGGCCAAAUGCAUUUUUGUAUACAUCUUUGGGUCUUGCUUGAAUAUUGCUAAAGCCUUCAAAAGCAUUAGAUCUCAUAUACUGCUUAAGGUUUUUUGCUUUUCUAGAAUUUACGACAAUGGGUUUAAUUUCGAGCAGUUAUGCACACUUUUUUUUUAUUAUGUUUCAUUGCCUAGAUGAUUUAUUCAAUUUUGUUAUAGGUCCAAGUUGGCAUUCAGGAAUUCUUCAAGAACCAUGAAAUAACAAAACCUCUUGCUACCAAAGAGCUGGUGUGGUUUAUGGCUUCUGCCUUUUUGGCAUUACCGAUUUUCCUUGUAUAUCGACUUCUGUCAUAUAUUUUGGGCCCUCGGAAGAAAACAGAAAUAACAAAGAGUUCACAUCGCAGGCCUAAGCAUAGGCAUGCUGACAAGUAAAGUUUGUUCUGGGUUGUUCUUCUCAUACGCCAAGAAGUAUGAAAUGAGGAUUGAGAUGUUUGAGAAACAAAGGAAGUAUGAAACGAGAGUACAGAAGUGUGAGAAACAGAGAAACAUUUGGUUAGUUGGAUCAGAUGCUUCUAAAUUUGUGAAUAAAAUCUAUCUAUUUUUGCACGAUUAAUAUCCAAAUGGAGGAUUGGACUAGUAAUUGGCUAUGUACCCUGCUUCUACUUAGAUACCCAUCGAAAAGUAUUUGGAGUUUGGAGGGCCUCUUUUGCUAAUGAAUUAGGAUAAUACAUAAAGAUUUUUGUCACAAAGAUAACAGAGUGCAUGAACUAUUCGGUUUUUGGAUAUUUACAAAUUUAUUCUUGCUCUUGGAACUUACAAUGUAAAGACUUGUUCUAUUCAUAUUUUGGAUUUAGUCCAUUUCUUUAUUAUUUAGGUGUUUA